rnacentral:lncRNA from 1 species
UUUUUUUUUCCUUGCCUUCUCCUUCUUCACUGAAGCCUAGGGGAGCCAGUAAAGAUUAAAUGUGCUUCUCAAAGGCAGCCACUUCAUGCUGCUAUGUCGAAAGGGCCAUUAUUAUUAUUAUAUUUUAAUGGUAAAAGAGAAAAGGAGAGAGGUUGAGCGAGCGAGAGAGAAGCUAGGUGUGAUGAUGACAGACUAGCUUUUCUGAGAGGAAAAGGAAAAGGGAAGGGAGAGAAAAAGGAGAGCCUCUGAGCUCAACGGAGGAUUGUGCCUGAGAAGAACCCACAGAGAGUGCAGGAAAUUCUACCCCCCAAGUAUGGCACCUUGGCAUGCUGAGUAUUUUAAGCUGAAGGAAACAGAGAAAACCACAGAAGCAGAAAGGUCUUUCUGACCUCUCUUGAAGACCCUCAUGUGACAGGUGUCCUGCCCUACAUCCAGAGAGAAGGAAUGUUCCACAGACAGACUAAGAAGAAUCUGAAGAAUCAGGCCUUACUAAGUGCCCUCCAGAUGUGACUGGAGUGAUUUGCACCCGGAUGCCUAGACUCGCCAUCUGCUCAAAGACUGCUCAGAAAGCCCUCCCAUGCAUUCCCCUGCUGCAUACCAGCCCACUCUGCCUGCAGCUGCUGUCUGCAGGACUUCAUAUCUAUGCCACACUGUGUAAAAGCUGUGCUUCAAGAAAUCACAAAAACAUUUUCCUGCACCUACUACACAGCCUGAGUGCGGCAUAAGUUGACCUUGCUUGCUAAGAAAUGGGGCAAGAAAUGCUUUUUUGUGUGUGUCAUGUCUGUUUGUUUUUCAAUUAAGAGAGGAAAGCAUUAGGCAGAUGGAAUGUACAUGUGAGGAUGAGGAGACAGAAAACAAGUAGCCCUUUCCAUCAAGAUAGAGGGUUUUCUGGGGUUGCUGGCUAUUGAAUGUCACUCCUGAUUUCUCUUUCCAAGGCACUGUACCACCAGCCUACUGAGAUUGUGUGGGAGCUUUCAUGGGGGUUGUAUUUCACUGAUGAAAAUAAAUUUUUUGCAUAA